UCUUUUGCGCACAGACGCUGAGCGCUGUGCUCUGUGCACUCUGCACUCAGACGCAGUGAUUGUGUGAACAUUUGCAACGUUAACAGCUAUAAACACCUCAGUGCAUCACCCGCCUGUUCCCUCUCACUGUGUAUAUUGCAUUAUAGUGUCCUUCCGUCAUCUCUGCUGUGAUGGCGUCAGCAUAUCAUUUGACAUCUUUCUAGAAGAUACAGUACCGGUCAAAAGUUUCAAUACCCCCGAUUUUAUGAUGAACUAUGCUUCAACUAUAAACCUGCGUAGAAUGACUUAAUUUUGGUGUUUACAUAGGCGGAUAAACAAAAGAGAAUUGAACUGAAAAUGUUAAAUGUAAAAAUGUAGAACAACAAAAGCAAGAGGAUCUCUCUCUGAAGCCCUGAUUAGUUAUGCUUGAAGUGUACUGUGUGUAACAGUAUUGGAAGACUUGCCCAAGUGUCUUUAUUAUAUGUCCUACCAGUGAAUGAUCAUGUUACCCUUUAACCGUUAAUCUUUCCUCAGCAGUUACUAAAACUGACGAGGGUUAAUUUCUAUAAAUACAUGUAAAUAAUAUAAUAGAAACAUAAGCAGCAAAACUCCAUUGUUGACAUUCUGAAUGUAAAGGGAAUAAAAAAUGGCAAAACGCACUCAGUUAAGCAGAGAAAAAAGAGAGUCUGUAAUUACUUUAAGAAAAGAAGGCCAAACAUUAAGACAAAUAGCAAAAGCCCUGCAAGUCUCUGUAAGCGCUGUGGCUAAGACUAUUAAACGAGUUGAAGAAACCGGUACUCAUGAGGACCGAGCGAGGUCAGGAAGGCCAAAGGUGACCUCUGAAUCGGAGAACAAGUUUAUUCGAGUCAUUAGCCUACGAGAUGGGCAAUUAAGUGCCCCUAAAAUACAAGCUCAGCUCAAUGCCACUAGAACAUCAGUUGUUUCAAUAUCAACAAUUCAAAGAAGACUACGUGAAGCUGGCUUAGCUAGAGGGCAGAAACCCAGAAAGAGAACUGCUCAGGCCAAAACAGCCGAGAAAGUAGAGAACUGUAACAUGGAAGUCGAGUCCACUGUAUAGAUUAGCUAUCAAAAGUUUGGACACACCUGACUGAAUGCAUGCCUUUGAUAAUUCAAGACAUUUUGAUCCAAAGGCUUAUGCUAAAAUUCUCAAUUAUCAUAAAAUUAUGAUAAAAUAUGUUUCUAAAUGAUGAUUUUGAUCUUGGGUGGCUCUUCAUGAAGGUAGAAUAUGCCAAGAGUGUGCAAAGCUGAAACAAGGCAAAAGGGGCCUGCUCUGAAGAAUGUUUCAGAUGAUAGUUUUGAUUUCUUCAACUUUUGGUCUAUCCAUGUGUGUAAUUUAUAGUUUUGACAGCGUCACUAUAAGUUAUAUAUGGAACAUAAUCAUAUUAAGGAAAACUUAUCUAUAAAGAGGUGUGCCCAAACUUUUGACUAGCAUCUACAGACACAGAAUGAGUGUGUGUGAGCAUGUUCUACAGUUGCUGUUCCCACAUGUAGCCCUUUUUCACUGACAAGGUGCCAUUGCUGUUUUUUUCUCAAUUUAGUUUAGCACUUCUUAUAUUUCUGUGUACACAUUGGCUUUCCUUCGAAAACUUUAUUUAUUUUGUACUCUUUUUUUUUUGUGAUGUUUUUUCCACAAACCGCUGGUGAUUAUGCUGUUUUCGCUCAUUUGGUAAAUCAUAUAGCUUGGUAACAUUACUUAAGUGAACUGUUCACAAAGUCAGUAAUCAACACAACGUCAACACGCCAUGUGGGUGCACUUAGCGAUCUAGGCUUGAUAACUUUAUCCUCACCUGAAAUAGUAAAAAAUUAGGUAAACUAUGUUGCUCUAACUCUCAAAGUUACUUUUAACAGUAAAGGUUUCCAAGAAUAGGAGAGAGCUUGCAACUAAAGACAUAAUUUGACCUCCGAUAAAAACAAAAAUAUUAUUUUACUAUAAAACAAAAUUUUAAAAUACUUUUUUUUUUCGUUUGAAAAUGGUAUAUCAACUCUUAUGAACAGAUUUACUUUGUGACAUCAUCAUCCACCAAGAUCCUUUGCGACCUUUCCCUGGUUCCAGGCCAGCAAGUUUUAUGGGGCCAGAAUUUUGCCAGAUUUUUUUUUUUAAUUUGCAUGAAAUGGUUCGAGCUCAGGCCCUGGCACCUUUGUUGGUGAAAAUGAGGUAGCAGUGCAAUGACUUUGGUGGUUAAAGGCAUUUUUCAGUGAACAUGGUUAUUAUAUCAUACUUCAGACAGGGUCACCUAUUUCAUCAGGCUCGGUGCUUACUGGGUGGUCCUUUCAUCUUUUCAUGCUGAAAACACAAAAUACACCUCAAAAUUAAAUAAUAGCUUACUAGUAUGGCAAAGAAAGAACAUGGAGAAUAACUUCAAGUAAUGACCUGGCCUGCCUAGUUUCCGGACUGCAAUAUCCAGUAUCAUUUUUCAACUGAAUGCAAAAGGUGCCUUUUCCAAGAUUUAGGCACAGUUUUCAAUACUGUUUUCACCACUUUGAAUACCUCUGAUGAUUUCUAUACUGUACAAUGUUUGAAAUAAACUUAAAACUUACACUGUACAAUAUCUAGCAAGUGUACUUUUGACUGGUACUGUACUGUCAUGCUUCUUGAAGUAGACAGCCACGUCUUUGAGUUCAUGCUUUGGCCAGGCUGAUGGAAGCCUUUCUUAGGGGCCCGCUGUAGCUGUCUCUUAGAAAACUGCACAUGACAUCAAAGAGAAUGCCUUCAGAGCUUUGGACUCAUUGGCUCCUGUGACCUUUCCCUUGAGGAAGUCUCUCUGGGGUCCCGUAUUCCAUCCUGAAAAUGCCCUCUCAGUCCGUCUGUGUCCCUUUCCAACUAUUCCAUGUACUCUCACAAGCCUUUCACAGUCUGCACUGUUGCUAAGCAGCAGUCGACUUCUGCAUCCACUACCUUUGCUAACUACCCUGGUAGAUCAUCUGUGGCUGAACUAGUCUAUUGUGUCUUGAGAUGGAGAUUAAGUCUGAAACAUCUUCUCCAGUUCCUUCUCCUUGCUCUGUCUCAAGUUGGAAGAACAACUUUAGGAAGACAGAAUCAGACAGCUGCUAUGUGACACAGGCGGAAGAAGAAGCAGAGCAGAGUGAUCUGUUGUCGGAAUGCGUGGAGGUGAAGCAAAGCAACAGGGAGCUAGUGGCGAAAACCUGACCUGCUGGACAAGGUUUAUGGAGCAAGAGAACCCAAAGUGGUCUGGCCUGUAGCAUGGAGAGUAGGAGCUCAGCCCAAACCCCUCAUAGACUUCUCACCCUUUGUGGUUCACCCCGGGGCACACCAAAAAAGGAGAUUAUUUCCCUUUUGUCUAAAAGUUAACUUUGAUAUUCCAGCAAUGGACAACAUGAAGAGGCCAGUUCACUGAAUUAAGGACACAUCUAAAAUAAGUACACCAGGCAAGUAGCAUGCAAUGACACAGACUGAGUUCACCACAAAGCCACAGAAUAAUGUCUAAAAAGACAUUUUCCCUCACACGUUUAGUACUGGGACGUUCACAAGACAGCUAAAGCAUACUGAGACAUCAAAUAUGAUUGUAUGAUAUUUGUAUGCUUCAUGAAUGUGUAUUUCAUCUGAUUUGUUGGACUACUUAUGACAUCGUUUAGCUGUGUCCUGGUUGGUGUCAUGCAUGGUAGUCAUGUAAGAAAUUUUCGAAAAGGUUUCAUGAAUGUAAAACACCACAGUUACAUGAUCUGGAUGUUUCCUUAUGUUGCCUACUCUGGUAGGUGUGAACAAGAAUUUCAACACAGUACAACUCUCUGGACAGCUGACCAAUUUGCAGCCUCUGAAUCAGGACACCUCCCAUUUCUUAACUGUAUAAAUCUGAAAAACUCAAAUUCGUCUUUGAGUUGUGCAUUAGAUUUCCAGCCACGGUUCCUUCCAGCUUCAAAUGUCUGACUUCAGUUAUCUGGACUGUCUCCUUGAUCUCCACUGAUAGCUUGUGGACAGUUGGGUCAUAAGACUUUCUCCACAAUCUCUAGACAUGCAGACUUGACUGAAGACAUGACCUUUUCCACACGCCAUCUCAAACGUAACUGUGUAGUUUCUCUGCUUACCUUCUGCCUUCCCCAAUGUUAGCAUGUCUGGCUAUGUAAGUGUCUUGUUAAAUGUGUCUACUACAGCUUAGCUGAUCUUCUAUCUCAGAAUCUGCUGCUGUUGUUUGCCCGCUUAAACCUUUAGAUCAGGGAUGUCCAAUCCUGUCCACAAAGGACCGGUGUGGCUGCAGGUUUUCACUCCAACAAAGCAGGAGGUCACCAGUUACUAAGACCACUUGAUUUUGCAGACCCUUUGCAGAUAAGAUUGGACACCCCUGUUUUAUCACAUAGGCCUAUACUGUCUCUUAGUUCAUAAUCAAGUGUCAGUUUAUCUUUUGCCAUCCAGUUUCACACUGUUGCUGUUAGUUCACUGUUUCAUCUUCUCAGUCUCCCUGUUUUUGUAUUUAUCCUUAUAUACUGUAUUCAGUUUUACUGCGUACUCUUAUUAUUAAAGUUCGUGUGUGUUUUCAUCA